rnacentral:rRNA from 1 species
CCUACGGGUGGCAGCAGUGAGGAAUAUUGGUCAAUGGGCGCGAGCCUGAACCAACCAAGUAGCGUGAAGGAUGACUGCCCUACGGGUUGUACACUUCUUUUAUAAAGGAAUAAAGUGAGGCACGUGUGCCUUUUUGUAUGUACUUUAUGAAUAAGGAUCGGCUAACUCCGUGCCAGCAGCCGCGGUAAUACGGAGGAUCCGAGCGUUAUCCGGAUUUAUUGGGUUUAAAGGGUGCGUAGAUGGGUUGUUAAGUCAGUUGUGAAAGGUUGCGGCUCAACCGUGAAAUUACAAUUAAUACUGGCAGUCUUGAGUACAGUUGAGGUAGGCGGAAUUCGUGGUGUAGCGGUGAAAUGCUUAGAGAUCACGAAGAACUCCGAUUGCGAAGGCAGCUUACCAAACUGCCGCUGACAUUGAUGCACGAAAGUGUGGGUAUCAAACAGGAUUAGAUACCCUUGUAGUC